rnacentral:rRNA from 1 species
UGAGGAAUAUUGGUCAAUGGGCGGAAGCCUGAACCAGCCAAGUCGCGUGAGGGAAUAAGGCCCUGCGGGUCGUAAACCUCUUUUGCCGGGGAGCAGUGCCGCCCACGCGUGGGCGGAGAGAGAGUACCCGGAGAAAAAGCAUCGGCUAACUCCGUGCCAGCAGCCGCGGUAAUACGGAGGAUGCGAGCGUUAUCCGGAUUUAUUGGGUUUAAAGGGUGCGCAGGCGGUCCUGCAAGUCAGCGGUCAAAUCGAGGGGCUCAACCCCUUUCCGCCGUUGAAACUGCGGGACUCGAGUGGGCGAGAAGUAGGCGGAAUGCGUGGUGUAGCGGUGAAAUGCAUAGAUAUCACGCAGAACCCCGAUUGCGAAGGCAGCCUACCGGCGCUCGACUGACGCUCAUGCACGAAAGCGCGGGGAUCGAACAGG